rnacentral:rRNA from 1 species
UACAGAGGUCCCAAGCGUUGUUCGGAUUCACUGGGCGUAAAGGGUGCGUAGGCGGUCGGGUAAGUCUGACGUGAAAUCUUCAAGCUCAACUUGGAACUGCGUCGGAUACUAUCGGCUAGAGGAAUGGAGGGGAGACUGGAAUACUUGGUGUAGCAGUGAAAUGCGUAGAUAUCAAGUGGAACACCAGUGGCGAAGGCGAGUCUCUGGACAUUUCCUGACGCUGAGGCACGAAAGCCAGGGGAGCAAACGGG